rfam:Gossypium raimondii chromosome 4, whole genome shotgun sequence.
AAGUACCAUAAUGAGGAAACUUUCAUAAUAAUUCUUUAAACCGCCCCCAAACCUCAUUCGGGGAUUCAUCUUCGAGUUGCUGGAACGUAGUGAUUUAAUUUUGAAACUU